rnacentral:rRNA from 1 species
GACGAACGCUGGCGGCGUGCUUAACACAUGCCAGUCGAACGCUGAAGCUUGGUGCUUGCACUGGGUGGAUGAGUGGCGAACGGGUGAGUAAUACGUGAGUAACCUGCCCUUGACUCUGGGAUAAGUCUGGGAAACUGGGUCUAAUACUGGAUACGACAUGUCACCGCAUGGUGGUGUGUGGAAAGGGUUUUACUGGUUUUGGAUGGGCUCACGGCCUAUCAGCUUGUUGGUGGGGUAAUGGCUCACCAAGGCGACGACGGGUAGCCGGCCUGAGAGGGUGACCGGCCACACUGGGACUGAGACACGGCCCAGACUCCUACGGGAGGCAGCAGUGGGGAAUAUUGCACAAUGGGCGGAAGCCUGAUGCAGCGACGCCGCGUGAGGGAUGACGGCCUUCGGGUUGUAAACCUCUUUCAGCACGGAGGAAGCGAAAGUGACGGUACGUGCAGAAGAAGCGCCGGCUAACUACGUG